rnacentral:rRNA from 2 species
AUUUGAGUGAGUGGCGGACGGGUGAGUAACACGUGGGUAACCUGCCCUAAAGUGGGGGAUAACAUUUGGAAACAGAUGCUAAUACCGCAUAAAACCUAACACCGCAUGGUGUAGGGUUGAAAGAUGGUUUCGGCUAUCACUUUAGGAUGGACCCGCGGUGCAUUAGUUAGUUGGUGAGGUAAAGGCUCACCAAGACCGUGAUGCAUAGCCGACCUGAGAGGGUAAUCGGCCACACUGGGACUGAGACACGGCCCAGACUCCUACGGGAGGCAGCAGUAGGGAAUCUUCCACAAUGGACGAAAGUCUGAUGGAGCAACGCCGCGUGAGUGAAGAAGGUUUUCGGAUCGUAAAACUCUGUUGUUGGAGAAGAAUGUAUCUGAUAGUAACUGAUCAGGUAGUGACGGUAUCCAACCAGAAAGCCACGGCUAACUACGUGCCAGCAGCCGCGGUAAUACGUAGGUGGCAAGCGUUGUCCGGAUUUAUUGGGCGUAAAGCGAGCGCAGGCGGUUUCUUAAGUCUGAUGUGAAAGCCUUCGGCUCAACCGAAGAAGUGCAUCGGAAACUGGGAAACUUGAGUGCAGAAGAGGACAGUGGAACUCCAUGUGUAGCGGUGAAAUGCGUAGAUAUAUGGAAGAACACCAGUGGCGAAGGCGGCUGUCUGGUCUGUAACUGACGCUGAGGCUCGAAAGCAUGGGUAGCAAACAGGAUUAGAUACCCUGGUAGUCCAUGCCGUAAACGAUGAGUGCUAGGUGUUGGAGGGUUUCCGCCCUUCAGUGCCGCAGCUAACGCAUUAAGCACUCCGCCUGGGGAGUACGACCGCAAGGUUGAAACUCAAAGGAAUUGACGGGGGCCCGCACAAGCGGUGGAGCAUGUGGUUUAAUUCGAAGCAACGCGAAGAACCUUACCAGGUCUUGACAUCCUUUGACCACUCUAGAGAUAGAGCUUUCCCUUCGGGGACAAAGUGACAGGUGGUGCAUGGUUGUCGUCAGCUCGUGUCGUGAGAUGUUGGGUUAAGUCCCGCAACGAGCGCAACCCUUAUUACUAGUUGCCAGCAUUUAGUUGGGCACUCUAGUGAGACUGCCGGUGACAAACCGGAGGAAGGUGGGGACGACGUCAAAUCAUCAUGCCCCUUAUGACCUGGGCUACACACGUGCUACAAUGGAUGGUACAACGAGUUGCGAGACCGCGAGGUUUAGCUAAUCUCUUAAAACCAUUCUCAGUUCGGAUUGUAGGCUGCAACUCGCCUACAUGAAGCCGGAAUCGCUAGUAAUCGCGGAUCAGCAUGCCGCGGUGAAUACGU